ACAAUUAAUCAUAUCUAACCACGAUUCAUUCUCAAAUUAAUCAUAUUAAACUUCAUUUAAUGAAUAAUCAUGAAUUAAAAGAGGGAAAUUAGGGUUACCAAAUUGUGGCUAUCAGAGUUAUUUUGAAAACAGACUUAUCUCCCUCUUCUCUCAUUCGCGGCGGCCGGUGGAUCUCCUCAACCUUCCUUCUCCGACGAGUUCCCCGUAGCGCCACCGUGCCACCGUGAAUCGUCCGGCCACGUCCUCUUCUCCUCACAUCUCUCCGUUUGUCACUCACGAUCUCUCUGCUUCGCUCACUCGAUCUCUCUUCCUCUUGUCUCAAUCAAUCCUCUCCCGAAUUCAUCUCAGUUCUGUCGGAGAAAUGCCGGCGUCUCUUCUGAUGUGACGACGAUGAAUAGAAUUUCGGAAAGCCUUGACGUGAAAUCUAGAUAGAGCCGCGGUGAUAAUGAUAUACGAAGUCGAUGAUGGCGAAGAUUGAUGAUGAAAGAUGAUGAACGUGAUGUGAUUCUGAUUGAAGAUGAUGACCGUGAUGUGAUUCUGAUUGAAGAUGAUGAACGUGAUGAUUGAAGUGAAGAAUAAGAGUGCAGAGAGUUUUGUGAAGAGUGAUGAAGAUUGAAGAGUGGAUGAUUAAAGAAGGUUAUGGUGGUGGAUGAAGGUCGAGGUGUGGUGAUGAGAAAUGGUUAUGGUUUGAGAUCGAUUUUUGGUGAUGAUGAAGCUGUGAAGAGUUUUCUGGUCGGGAUUGUAGCGUGAUUUUCAGAGAGAGGUGAGAUGAAGGUUGGUGAAGAAUGAUUGGUGAAUCCAAAGAAAUUCAGCAAGGGAAGAGAUGAAGAUUGAAAGGGUUUCAGAGAGAAUAUCCCGAAAGAAAAAAAAGUUUGUUACAAGUUCUCAGUUUCUGUUAUGUGGCUGCAGGUCGAUUUGGCUUUUUUAACAGUUUGGAACAGGUCCAGUUUUGAUAUCGGGUGCAAGGAUUAUGCAGGAGUUUUAAUUGAUGUAUGAAGGUGACGGUUUUGUGGGGGCCUGGAUAUGUGAACAAAUCUGUCAUGAAGAUUAGAAUUGGAAACCAUACACCAAAAGUAUUUUUAUGUAUUUUCUGCUGACUGAAUGAUGGGUUUGGAUGUGUAAUGGAUAGUAUAUUUUGUAAUGGGCUUUGUAUGGACUUUGGAAUGCAAUUUUGUAAAUUUCUCUUGUAAAAUAACCUUGACUCUAAUGAGUCCUUGAAUUUAACCCUUGACUUUGUGAGCAUUCAAAAUUUUUCCAAUUUUCUCUAAAGAGGGUUGCUAUUUAGACACCAAAAAUCAUACACCAUACCAUUACACCGUAUAAAAUUGAGCUUGCUAUGUAUUUGUUUGUGUCAGAACAAAGCAAAAAAUAAUGAAUAAAUAUUCAAAGAAAUUAAAACCGUAUGAUACUACGGUG